GGGUUGUGAGGUUAAGCGACUAAGCGUACACGGUGGAUGCCCUGGCAGUCAGAGGCGAUGAAGGACGUGCUAAUCUGCGAAAAGCGUCGGUAAGGUGAUAUGAACCGUUAUAACCGGCGAUGUCCGAAUGGGGAAACCCAGUGCAAUUCGUUGCACUAUCGUUAACUGAAUACAUAGGUUAACGAGGCGAACCGGGGGAACUGAAACAUCUA
rnacentral:rRNA from 2 species